GUGGAUUAGAUACCCUGGUAGUCCACGCCCUAAACGAUGUCUACUAGUUGUUGGGAGAGUAAAAUCUCUUAGUAACGCAGCUAACGCGUGAAGUAGACCGCCUGGGGAGUACGGUCGCAAGAUUAAAACUCAAAGGAAUUGACGGGGGCCCGCACAAGCGGUGGAUUAUGUGGAUUAAUUCGAUGCAACGCGAAAAACCUUACCUGGCCUUGACAUGCUACUAACGAAGCAGAGAUGCAUUAGGUGCCCGAAAGGGAAAGUAGACACAGGUGCUGCAUGGCCGUCGCCAACU
rnacentral:rRNA from 1 species